UAAGUAUGGAGCACUUAUCCUCCUGCCCUUCAGCGAUGUAAAACACAGCAAUCUUGUGGGUCUCACGACUGGUGGAAAAAGCAAACAUCAUAAAAUAUAAUGGAUUUAGUGGAUUUAUGUUGUCCAGAAAUAAAGAAAUCUGCGGUGAAUAGGCUGUUUCUACCAUCUGCUGUCGCACGGAUACAAGGCUGCUGCUUGCUCCAUCCGCUGCAGAUGGAAAGGUAUCGUCCGUGACAUUUAGUACUCAGAAUUCUCAGGGACUGCGGUGAAACAAAAAGAAUUCGCCUCGCAGCUGCUUACCUU